AUUGAACGCUGGCGGCAGGCCUAACACAUGCAAGUCGAGCGGAUGAAGGGAGCUUGCUCCUGGAUUCAGCGGCGGACGGGUGAGUAAUGCCUAGGAAUCUGCCUGGUAGUGGGGGAUAACGUCCGGAAACGGGCGCUAAUACCGCAUACGUCCUGAGGGAGAAAGUGGGGGAUCUUCGGACCUCACGCUAUCAGAUGAGCCUAGGUCGGAUUAGCUAGUUGGUGGGGUAAAGGCCUACAAAGGCGACGAUCCGUAACUGGUCUGAGAGGAUGAUCAGUCACACUGGAACUGAGACACGGUCCAGACUCCUACGGGAGGCAGCAGUGGGGAAUAUUGGACAAUGGGCGAAAGCCUGAUCCAGCCAUGCCGCGUGUGUUAAGAAGGUCUUCGGAUUGUAAAGCACUUUAAGUUGGGAGGAAGGGCAGUAAGUUAAUACCUUGCUGUUUUGACGUUACCAACAGAAUAAGCACCGGCUAACUUCGUG
rnacentral:rRNA from 1 species